GCCUGAAUGCUGAGUCAUGGCCAGUAUCAGAGGAACUGGGACCAGAUUCUUCAGCUUCAAAUUGCUGGAAUUCACCUUUCCAUGCAAAAUGCUGCAUUGUUUGUAAUGCCAAGGCUUGGAGACAGCCACUAAAAUGGAAAUUCCAUGAAGCCAUGGGGAAUCAGGGAGAAAAAUGGACG